rnacentral:rRNA from 1 species
UACGUAGGGGCAAGCGUUGUCCGGAUUUAUUGGGCGUAAAGAGCGUGUAGGCGGCCAAACAGGUCCGUUGUGAAAACUGGAGGCUCAACCUCCAGACGUCGACGGAAACCGUGUGGCUAGAGUCCGGAAGAGGAGAGUGGAAUUCCUGGUGUAGCGGUGAAAUGCGCAGAUAUCAGGAAGAACACCAAUGGCGAAGGCAGCUCUCUGGGACGGUACUGACGCUGAGACGCGAAAGCGUGGGGAGCGAACAGG